UGUUUUAGUGUAGUUCGUCUAUCCUGCCAAAUUAAUGCUAACACUGUGUUCAGUUGAGUGGAUUGCAAUGUGAGCGAUGAUUUGCAGGAGACUUUGUGUUCGUUUUGAGUAGUUUUGGAGGAAUGAUUUGAGUGGAUUUGAAGUUAUCCAAUUUUGUGAUCACCGUUGAGAUGUAUAGAUCUGGGAUGAUUUAUGUUGAAAUGUCUUCUUUGCCCUGAUACUUUGAGGAAAUACCACGUUCAAAUAUUACAAUAUCUUCGAAUCCAAGGGUUUUAUAAUCCAUUCCAAAGCAUGUUGAAGCUAUUUUUUUUUUUUGCAGGUUAGAGGAAUGUUUGGUUGGAGAUGAUGAAGGUUGAUGGCUAAAGAUGAAGAUGAAAACCAUGAAGAUGAGGUUGAAGAAGGAGUAAAGAGGUGUACUUGGUUCGACGUUGAGUAUGCGGUUACAAUGGAAGAAGAAAUGCGCUCUAUUCGGUUCCCACAAUCGGUAUUCGGUUCUAGUUAGUUGAAGAAAUGAAGUUGUGCUUGUAUUCGGUUCCAUAUGGUUGUAUUUGGUUCCCCAAACGUGUAUUCAGUUCCCCUUCAUAUUGUUGUCACAUGUACGAGGGGAUUUGGUUCCCCUGACAAUUAUUCGGUUCCACGGCUUCGUUUGGUUUCCUCCAUGCGGAGAUGCGAAAGCUUGGUGGCGCGCCGUGAACUGUGACCGAGGUGUACAAGAUGCAGAGGUCCAUGAACGUGUACAUCGGCAGGCCUAGAGUGCAUAUAUAGCAGUGUCAUUAGCAGAAUGAGAGUGAUUAUGACGGAAGACUUAAUAAGCAUACAUAAUAGCUCAUUCCUUCUAGAACAAUUUUGAUAUCCCCCUUUUCACAUUCAAAUCCAAAAGUCACUCCCUGGCAAUAGAAACACAAUUUGCUGACAAGCUAUUGCACUGAUUCUUGUUACAAAACUCAGCAUACCAUUCUUGAUAGAGGAGAUGUUUCGGUCCAUGAGUAACAUCCGCCUAUUAGAAAUGGAUGUGGAUCCACCACCAAUACUCGGGCAAAGGUCUGACUUCCAUUUCUUGUUGCAACAAAUGGACAGUGACUCUCAGUGAUGCAAUUGGAAUUCCCAGCUGCUUCUGCAAUUUCUUCACAACAAACACUUCUGGUUCUUCACAUAUGUUUAGCACUAUACCAUUCCUACCAAGCCGACCAGUUCGGCCAGCUGCUUCGAUUCCCAACUUCUUCCCAUACUCUUCACCAUCAUCACCUUUCACCCUCAGCGGUCCAACAAGCGAGAGAAUAGGAAGCAGAUAAGCUAGUGUCUUCCCUGAACCGGUGUAAGACUGAAUUAUGACAUCACGAUUGUUCAGAAUGAAGGGAACUGCAGAAGAUUGAGCUUCAGUCGGAACUAUAAAACCCUCCUCCUCUAGACUCUCAAUCAACACAUGUGGGAGCCCAAAUUCUGAAAAUGACUUUGCAGCAAAAGGGGCAAACUCCAUUUGUUGUUUUUCUACAACCCUAAAUGCUUUCUUCUUCUUCUCGUUAGUGUCAAAGGGCUUUCCUUUGCUCUUGAGAUUCUCACUGGGUGAACCAAAUGACUUAACCUUAUUAGAUUUGCUUCUGUUCUCAGCUUCUGUUUCAGUUUGGAAACCUAUGCUAGAAAGGGUGAGGGAACCAUGAGUAGGUUCCACAUGGUUCAUACACUUCACACCAGUGUGCAAUAUCUAGAAGUGGCCAGAGAUACGGGGGAAGAUCCUCGGCCAUGGCGAAUGCAAGACAAAAAUCGAUACAUUGGUUUUUUGUUGUAAUGUUAGGAUUUGAGUUUGAAGAACUGAUAUUCUGAUUUUCUGUUUUUCGUUUAUUUAUAAGUAGAAGAAAGAGCUUAGUACUCAAAUUCCUGAUAUUGACAUCCGUUUGUUUUUUCAAUAGAUGAGGAGGUGUAGGAAAGAAUGUGUGAUAGUGGUGUCAGUUACUGGAAUAAAAUUCUAGAUGAUAUGUGUUUCACGUGGCUUUUUUUUUCUGAGCUACGGAUGUAUUUUUUAAAAUAACCAUUUUAUGUUUUGUAAAGAUGACUUUUUAA